rnacentral:rRNA from 1 species
AUUUCUUCUUGCUUUGCUUGCACGCCUGCAACACCAAUUCCUUUAGAUUCCACAUUCGUCUUUCAACCCCUAACGACGUUCCGCUACUCCAAGAUCAAGAGGAUGGUGAAGAUUCAUGCUCCUUAAAAGCAGACAGGAAGAAGGUUCUGGCUCAUCAAGGGAGCUGCUUGCAGAAGCGAGGUUGUGGUGUUCUUGGAUGCGAUGGUGCCGUGGAGGAUGGAGGCGCGGCUGGCGGCGACGGUGCGGGCGGCCCUCCUCGGCUGGCUCUUCUUCUGCCUCACCGUCGCCAGCGACGUCGCACGCCAACUCAGGAGCAGCGAUCUCUCCGUCUAAGGCCGACCGCGUUCGGCAUGGCCGACGGCGAAGAACCGACUCUGCGUCUACAGAUUGAUUUACAGGAGGGUAACCAGAUGCGAUUUUCCAAAGUAGUGCUCGUCUUUAGAAGACGGCUGUCCUUAAGAGUUAAGACUCAUUGAGCAGAUGCUCCCUGUAAAUUUUCAACUAAAGCGUGUUGUUCCUUUGCUCAUUUUGGGGGGUCAGCAUGGUUACUUCCAAACUAGCAUCACUGACUACGACCUGAAAUAACUUUUUUUUUGGCGAAAUUACCACCUGAAAUACUUGAUAAAUCAUUACACCUUAACGGUUUUGUCAUUAGUUAACUAAACCCAUUAGGGGUCUAGCUCCACUUUUAAUCUGAAGUGUUGGUCCCAUGAUGAGAUGGCCUAGCAAAUAAUUAUUGUCGUCGGUCACCUCACAUGCUGUCAGGAGUCAGGAGCCGAAUUAUUUUAAUGUUUUUUUAUAAUGUCUGAGGAUAAUAGACUCACAAUAUCAGAUAUCUAGUUUGUGUCGAUUUGACUUUGGCAUACCGGA